UGUGUCUGUCUCACCAUCUGCCUAAAAAAAGCAUUUGUCUGUCUGUCUCUCUGUCUGCCUAAAAAAAGUAUCUGUCUGUCUGUCUGCUUAAAAAAGUGUUUGUCUGUCUCUCACCGUCUACCUGUCCGUCCGUCUAAAAAAAGUAUUUUCUGUCUGUCUAUCUAAAAAAAAGUAUCUGUCUGCCUAUAACGGUAUCUGUCUGUCUGUCUCUGUCUGCUUAAAAAUGUGUUUGUCUGCCUGUCUCACCAUCUGCCUGUCCGUCUGUCUAAAAAAAGUAUUUGUCUGUCUGUCUGUCUAAAAACAGUAUCUGUCUCUCUGUCUGUCUGUCUGCUUAAAAAAAAGUUUGUUUGUCUGUCUGUCUGUCUCUGUCUGCCUAAAAACAGUAUCCGUCUGUCUGUCUGUCUGUCUGUUUCACUGUCUGCCUGUCUGUCUGUCUGUCUGUCUCUCAGUCUGCUUAAAAAAAGUGUUUGUUUGUCUCUCACCGUCUGCCUCUCCGUCUGUCUCAAAAAGUAUCUGUCUGUCUGUCUCUGUCUGCCUAAAAACCGUAUCUGUCUGUCUGUCUCUGUCUGCCUAAAAACCGUAUCUGUCUGUCUGUCUCUCUGUCUGCUUAAAAAUGUGUUUGUCUGCCUGUCUCACCGUCUGCCUGUCCGUCUGUCUAAAAACAGUAUCUGUCUCUCUGUCUGUCUGUCUGUCUCUGUCUGCUUAAAAAAAAAGUUUGUUUGUCUGUCUGUCUGUCUGUCUGUCUCUGUCUGCCUAAAAACAGUAUCCGUACGUCUGUCUGUCUGUCUGUCUGUCUCACCGUUUGCCUGUCUGUCUCUCUCUGUCUGCCUAAAAACAGUAUCCGUACGUCUGUCUGUCUGUCUCACCGUCUGUCUGUCUCAAAAACUAUCUGUGUGUCUGUCUGUCUCUGUCUGCCUAAAAACAGUGUCUGUCUGUCGUCUGUCUGUCUGUCUGCUUAAAAAAGUGUUUGUCUGUCUGUCUAAAAAGAGUAUCUGUCUCUCUGUCUGCUUAAAAAAGUGUUUGUUUGUUUGUCUGUCUGUCUGUCUCUGUCUGCCUAAAAAAAGUAUUUGUCUUUGUCUCUCCAUCUGUCUAAAAAAAAGCAUCCGUCUCUCUGUCUGUCCAUUAAAAGUAUCUGUUUGUCCAUCUGAAAAAAGUGUCUGUCUGAAAAAGUAUCUGUUUGUCUCUUCAUUUGUCUGAAUAAGUAUGUCUAUCCAUCUGAGAAAAAAAGUCUUACUGUCUAAAAAGUGUCUGUCUGAAACAAAAGAUCAAAAGAACAAGUUUGUCUGUCCAUCUGAAAAAGUGUCUGUCCG
rnacentral:lncRNA from 1 species